UGCAUCCAGCGGAAGUCCAUUCGAUCAUCGAGAAGGUCACCAGCAGACGCCAUAUUCUAUAGACAUUUUUUUCCUGCAGUUUUCGCUAUACUGGAUGCACAAUAAGGAAUAGAGUCAAGUAUUAUGUUUGUAUUACAAAUGAGCUGCUGCGUUGAAUGACGCAGUUAAAACGAUGGCCGCUGAAACGUGUAAAAGCGCAAACAAAUUAGCAAUCUGCGGUGAGAAGAGCUCGUUGAAAUGAUGACAUCUGCUGGGUUGUCUUUAAGAAUUCAGAUGAAAGCGGGAAAGCGUUAACGCACAUCGGAAACCGAGGCAGCAGCUGUGUUACCAUUAUACAGACAUUGCGGCGGUGUGUUAUACAGACAUUGCGGCGGUUUGAAGUCACUGAUAGCUCAAGGCGGCGUUUUCACGUUAUUACGCCCAGAUUCCGCAUAUACUGCCCAUUUCCAUCGGGAUCCGCACUAUAGUAAUUGAUCUAUAGUUGUGGUCUUGUCAGUUUUCCGGCCUUUGUGUUGAAGUUGGAUUCGUUUUAAGAAAGCUCUUGGUGGUGAUUUGGCUGUGCUCUUCCUGCUCGUUUGAAAAGUGCUUUGAAAAGUGACCUUUUGAUUUUGGAAAAAUGGCGACCGCUCAUUCUCAGUCCUAUCUGAUAGCAACAUUUCUAGUGGCGCUCCUGUCAUUCUGUGCGCUGGUGCAUUGUGGACAAUACGACAAAUAUCUGUACAACAUGGGCUUGGGCAAAAGGUGAGAAAUACCACCCGUUUAUCGGUAAUAG